UACGAGGGGGGCAAGCGUUGUUCGGAAUUAUUGGGCGUAAAGGGUGCGUAGGUGGUUGGGUAAGUCUGAUGUGAAAUCUCCGGGCUCAACCCGGAAAUGGCAUUGGAUACUAUCCGGCUCGAGGAAUGGAGGGGAGACUGGAAUACUUGGUGUAGCAGUGAAAUGCGUAGAUAUCAAGUGGAACACCAGUGGCGAAGGCGAGUCUCUGGACAUUUCCUGACGCUGAGGCACGAAAGCCAGGGGAGCAAACGGG
rnacentral:rRNA from 1 species